ACUCAAAGGAAUAGACGGGGGCCCGCACAAGCGGUGGAGUAUGUGGCUUAAUUCGAUGCAACGCGAAGAACCUUACCUAGGCUUGACAUGCAUCUCUAAGGCGGUGAAAGCCGUCGAGUCCCGCAAGGGACAAUUUGCACAGGUGCUGCAUGGCUGUCGUCAGCUCGUGUCGUGAGAUGUUGGGUUAAGUCCCGCAACGAGCGCAACCCUUGUGAUCUGUUGCCACCGGCCUUUGGCCGAGCACUCUGAUCAGACUGCCCUGUGAAACGGGGAGGAAGGUGAGGAUGACGUCAAGUCAGCAUGGCCCUUACGCCUAGGGCUGCACACGUACUACAAUGCACAGUACAGAAGGAGCCGAGACCGCGAGGUGGAGGAAAUCACGAAAACUGUGCCCAAUUCGGAUCGCAGGCUGCAACUCGCCUGCGUGAAGCCGGAAUCGCUAGUAAUGGCGCAUCAGCUACGGCGCCGUGAAUACGUUCCCGGGCCUUGUACACACCGCCCGU
rnacentral:rRNA from 1 species